GUUCUCAUCGGGACCGCCCCAACAUGGCGCCCAAACAACGUGGUGUUCGGGCCUGGUCUUCCAAAGCGGACAGGAGCGAUGAGAUCAUGGAGAGUUGUGGUUUGGAGUUGGACUCCAGCGACGACGACGCGCCCGAGAUGGUCACCUUUGAGGACUCCAAGGCCCAGGCGCUGUGGAGUGUCAAGCAGGCCCUGGAAAGUGCGAGAAGGGAGAAGGAUCUGCUGAAGCAGAGGAGGAGGAAGAGACAGAAACUCUUCCAGGAGCAAAAGAAGAGAAAACUUCUUUCUGUAGAACUUCUGGAGGAAAUCGACUCGUUACAGAAGCAGAGCCAGCGAAACGCUGAAGCAACACCUCAAGAUGAAGAGCAGCGUGAAGAGGAAUUAGAAGAAAUGACAGAGACAAAGCAGCAAAAACUGGAACACUCCAGAAAGCUGACGGGGAACUACAAGGUGACGACGGUGAAGCCUCAAGCGUUGUCAUCAUUUCAGCAGAAGACUGCUGAGGACUUCCUUCAGUCGCGGCUGUACGGCGCCGGAAGUCGCCGCGCCACCAGCAGCCAACUGCUGUCCCUUCAAAAUAAGACAGCGAGGACCAAAGGCGCAGCGGUUCAGUUUGUCAAGAGCCAAUGGGCUCGUGAGCAAAAGAGCAAAGCGGAGAAGCUGAAGCUGCGGUGGAUACACAAGCAGAUUCCCUCCAGCUGAUUGGACGCCUGCAAGGACACACCCUCUCCCUCCUCUGUGACUGGACGCCAAACACUUUUGGCUGUGUGGAAAUAUGGACGUCAACCUUGACCGUGUCGUCAGUCCUGAGACUGAAUGUUGUCCACUUCCUUUUUGUGAGGACCAAUCAUGGAUGAGCCUUCUUUCGACUGAGAACAGUUGUCGUGGCAACCAGUGCUCUGCGACUGUUCAUGACAGGUUCACAGGGAGCUGGAGCUGAUCCCAUCUGACUGGAGGAGAGAAGUGGGGUGCACCCUUGGGAGUGGUCGCCAGUCAUUUUGAUGGGACAUAUAGACUAACGACAGACUGGUCACCAGCCAGUGUGUCUCAGGGCACAUAGACAAAUGACAGGUUGCUAGUCUUUCACACCAUUGGACAAGAUUAGAGAGGAAAAAUUGGUGCACAGAUUCAAAACCCAGAACAUCAGAACUGCAAGACAGAUGUACUAGCCACAAAAUGAGUGAAAAAUAAUUAGGAAAUCAAAGCCCCAUUUCUCCUUUUUAAUAAAAAUCUGUUCACACUCACACAAGUUGCACAU